rnacentral:sRNA from 1 species
UAUAAAUAUUUUAUAUUUAUGAUAUCGGUGGUUGUAGUUCUUACCGGCCAUGUCUACCAUUUGAGAUGACGAAAUGAUAAAUAGAACUAAGUUAGAACUCUAUUAGAAGAGUUCUUUUUUUG